CCUACGGGAGGCAGCAGUGAGGAAUAUUGGUCAAUGGGCGCGAGCCUGAACCAGCCAAGUCGCGUGAGGGAAGACGGCCCUACGGGUUGUAAACCUCUUUUGCCGGGGAGCAACGUGCGCCACGUGUGGCGCCACUGAUAGUCCCCGUAGAAAAAGCAUCGGCUACCUCCGUGCCAGCAGCCGCGGUAAUACGGAGGAUGCGAGCGUUAUCCGGAUUUAUUGGGUUUAAAGGGUGCGUAGGCGGAGCGUUAAGUCAGUGGUAAAAUUGAGGGGCUCAACCCCUUCCCGCCAUUGAAACUGGCGCUCUUGAGUGGAAGAGAAGUAGGCGGAAUGCGUGGUGUAGCGGUGAAAUGCAUAGAUAGCACGCAGAACCCCGAUUGCGAAGGCAGCAUGCCGGAUUCCGACUGACGCUGAAGCACGAAAGCGUGGGGAUCGAACAGGAUUAGAUACCCUGGUAGUC
rnacentral:rRNA from 1 species